AUCAUAGUACUUGCCGGAGACUAGAGUCUGGAGUCCUGGUAAGAUUUUCCUAAAGAUGAUGCUGGAAAGAACACUUAAGUGAGUGCAGACUCCCUUUUCGUCUCUUUUUACUUCCAUUAUAACCUGGAGAUCUAGCAGGAGAAAAGGGAGUGAAGAUCUGGGAAGAGACAGAAAUAGCAGAAUUGAAGUUACCGGGCUGGCUUCUUACCUCUUUUACUGGAACCUAGCGUUCCGGGAAGAGGUUAAUGAAGGUGACUCAUGGAAUUCAGAGAAGAGACCCAUGGAAUAUUAUGGAAGCUAUCGGCCUCACCUCUUUCCUUCUCUCCUCUUCCCUUUGGAGGUUGGGGAUCAGGUUGGAGCCAGGCAAAGGACAGGAGAAAAUAGCCACUUCUCAUUGUGGACCAUGAGGCUGGAGACUUGGCAGGACAUUCAUGGAGAUGAGGAUUUGAAGCACCAGGCUUGAUAGAAGGCACUCACCUCUUCUACUCUACCUUCCUUUGCAACAUGGACUCCUCCCUGGAGACCAAAUAGGAAACUUCUUUUAACAGACAGUAGAUACCAAAGAAUCGGUAUACAGGCUUACCUAUCCAUCCUCUUUGUUCCCAAGCACAAUGUGAAGAUCAGUGAAAAAAUCAAUGGGGCACUGUGGACGGUACCACAUGGUCUUCUACCCACUUUUCCUAGAGAAUGAAGUCCAAGCAGGAGUUUCAUGAUGAUCAGGCAGGAGACUGAUGACAAUCAAAAAAGAGUUCUCUCCUCCUCUUGUUAACAGGUUGUAUAACAGAAGCAAAGCAUAAGAGAAAGCAAUUUCUUCUGGGAGAGCCUUGGCAGGAAGUUCAUGGAGAUGCCAAUGCAGAAGCAAAGGGAAUGAAGAUACCUGCCUCACCUCUUUGCUUCUCAGCUCUUCCCAUUGGAGGCUGGGGAUCAGAAAAGAGCCAGGCAAAGCACAAGAGAAAGCAAUCACAUCUCUUUCAUAGUUGGCUGAAAAUUCACAGAGAUGACCAUGGGGAAGCAAAGGGAAUGAUGGAAUGUACCUCUCUUUUCUCUUGUCCAACCAUUACAAAAUGAAGAGCAUUUAGGACAGAAGACUAGAAAUUUCUGUUGACCUGAACGGACAUACAAGGGAAUGAUGAAAAGUACCUACCUCGCCAUUAUUUUUCUUCUGUGUUUUCUUCUUUGGAAGAGGUGAAGACCUGGGAAGAGAUACAUGAGGCAGAAUUGAAGGCACUCGACUUGCUUCUUCUCAUUUUCCCUGAAGGCUAGAAUCCUACUAUGAAUGUCAUAAAGAUCAGUCAGGAGACUUAUGGAAUAUGAUGGAAGGUACAUGUCUCUCAUCCUUCCUGCUCUCCUCUUCCCUUUGGAGGGUGGAGAUCAGGUAGGAGAUAGGUAAACUAUAAUACAAAGCAACUACCUCUCCUUGAGGAACCAGAUCUUGAAGACUUGGCAGGAUAUUCAUGAAGAAGAGCAUGUGAAGUGAAGAACAUGAUGGAAUUCAUACACCAUUCUCUUCUCAGUCCCCUUGGAACUGUGAGACCUAGCAGGAGACCAGGUAGGUAUCUUGGAUUGGACAGUCCCAUGUUAGGAGGGAAUGAGGAGGAAACCCGAUCACGUCUGCAUUUCUCUUACCUUGCCAUCCAUACAGAAUUUAGGGUGGAGGGAGGAUCCAGAUGAAUCCCAAUGCAAGGCCACUGACUCUCUUUAUCCCUCUUUUCCUCAAGAUCAGAGUACUUGCAGGAGACUAGAGUCUGGAGUCCUGGUAACAUUUUCCUAAAGAUGAUGCUGGAAAGAACACUUAAGUGAGUGCAGACUCCCUUUUCGUCUCUUUUUACUUCCAUUAUAACCUGGAGAUCUAGCAGGAGAAAAGGUAUGAAAUUUGUGUUGGUCAGACAAGAGUUACAAGUCAGUUAACGAAUAUAGCUAGGCCCUAUCUUCACUUCUCUUCUCUUUUCUUCCAUGCAGGGAGUGAAGAUCUGGGAAGAGACAGAAAUAGCAGAAUUGAAGUUACCGGGCUGGCUUCUUACCUCUUUUACUGGAACCUAGCAUUCCGGGAAGAGGUUAAUGAAGGUGACUCAUGGAAUUCAGAGAAGAGACCCAUGGAAUAUUAUGGAAGCUAUCGGCCUCACCUCUUUCCUUCUCUCCUCUUCCCUUAGGAGGUUGGGGAUCAGGUUGGAGCCAGGCAAAGGACAGGAGAAAAUAGCCACUUCUCAUUGUGGACCAUGAGGCUGGAGACUUGGCAGGACAUUCAUGGAGAUGAGGAUUUGAAGCACCAGGCUUGAUAGAAGGCACUCACCUCUUCUACUCUACCUUCCUUUGCAACAUGGACUCCUCCCUGGAGAUCAAAUAGGAAACUUCUUUUAACAGACAGUAGAUACCAAAGAAUCGGUAUACAGGCUCACCUAUCCAUCCUCUUUGUUCCCAAGCACAAUGUGAAGAUCAGUGAAAAAAUCAAUGGGGCACUGUGGACGGUACCACAUGGUCUUCUACCCACUUUUCCUAGAGAAUGAAGUCCAAGCAGGAGUUUCAUGAUGAUCAGGCAGGAGACUGAUGACAAUCAAAAAAGAGUUCUCUCCUCCUCUUGUUAACAGGUUGUAUAACAGAAGCAAAGCAUAAGAGAAAGCAAUUUCUUCUGGGAGAGCCUUGGCAGGAAGUUCAUGGAGAUGCCAAUGCAGAAGCAAAGGGAAUGAAGAUACCUGCCUCACCUCUUUGCUUCUCAGCUCUUCCCAUUGGAGGCUGGGGAUCAGAAAAGAGCCAGGCAAAGCACAAGAGAAAGCAAUCACAUCUCUUUCAUAGUUGGCUGAAAAUUCACAGAGAUGACCAUGGGGAAGCAAAGGGAAUGAUGGAAUGUACCUCUCUUUUCUCUUGUCCAACCAUUACAAAAUGAAGAGCAUUUAGGACAGAAGACUAGAAAUUUCUGUUGACCUGAACGGACAUACAAGUGAAUGAUGAAAAGUACCUACCUCGCCAUUAUUUUUCUUCUGUGUUUUCUUCUUUGGAAGAGGUGAAGACCUGGGAAGAGAUACAUGAGGCAGAAUUGAAGGCACUCGACUUGCUUCUUCUCAUUUUCCCUGAAGGCUAGAAUCCUACUAUGAAUGUCAUAAAGAUCAGUCAGGAGACUUUUGGAAUAUGAUGGAAGGUACAUAUCUCUCAUCCUUCCUGCUCUCCUCUUCCCUUUGGAGGGUGGAGAUCAGGUAGGAGAUAGGUAAACUAUAAUACAAACCAACUACCUCUCCUUGAGGAACCAGAUCUUGAAGACUUGGCAGGACAUUCAUGAAGAAGAGCAUGUGAAGCGAAGAACAUGAUGGAAUUCAUACACCAUUCUCUUCUCAGUCCCCUUGGAACUGUGAGACCUAGCAGGAGACCAGGUAGGUAUCUUGGAUUGGACAGUCCCAUGUUAGGAGGGAAUGAGGAGGAAACCCGAUCACGUCUGCAUUUCUCUUACCUUGCCAUCCAUACAGAAUUUAGGGUGGAGGGAGGAUCCAGAUGAAUCCCAAUGCAAGGCCACUGACUCUCUUUAUCCCUCUUUUCCUCAAGAUCAGAGUACUUGCAGGAGACUAGAGUCUGGAGUCCUGGUAACAUUUUCCUAAAGAUGAUGCUGGAAAGAACACUUAAGUGAGUGCAGACUCCCUUUUCGUCUCUUUUUACUUCCAUUAUAACCUGGAGAUCUAGCAGGAGAAAAGGUAUGAAAUUUGUGUUGGUCAGACAAGAGUUACAAGUCAGUUAACGAAUAUAGCUAGGCCCUAUCUUCACCUCUCUUCUCUUUUCUUCCAUGCAGGGAGUGAAGAUCUGGGAAGAGACAGAAAUAGCAGAAUUGAAGUUACCAGGCUGGCUUCUUACCUCUUUUACUGGAACCUAGCGUUCCGGGAAGAGGUUAAUGAAGGUGACUCAUGGAAUUCAGAGAAGAGACCCAUGGAAUAUUAUGGAAGCUAUCGGCCUCACCUCUUUCCUUCUCUCCUCUUCCCUUUGGAGGUUGGGGAUCAGGUUGGAGCCAGGCAAAGGACAGGAGAAAAUAGUCACUUCUCAUUGUGGACCAUGAGGCUGGAGACUUGGCAGGACAUUCAUGGAGAUGAGGAUUUGAAGCACCAGGCUUGAUAGAAGGCACUCACCUCUUCUACUCUACCUUCCUUUGCAACAUGGACUCCUCCCUGGAGACCAAAUAGGAAACUUCUUUUAACAGACAGUAGAUACCAAAGAAUCGGUAUACAGGCUUACCUAUCCAUCCUCUUUGUUCCCAAGCACAAUGUGAAGAUCAGUGAAAAAAUCAAUGGGGCACUGUGGACGGUACCACAUGGUCUUCUACCCACUUUUCCUAGAGAAUGAAGUCCAAGCAGGAGUUUCAUGAUGAUCAGGCAGGAGACUGAUGACAAUCAAAAAAGAGUUCUCUCCUCCUCUUGUUAACAGGUUGUAUAACAGAAGCAAAGCAUAAGAGAAAGCAAUUUCUUCUGGGAGAGCCUUGGCAGGAAGUUCAUGGAGAUGCCAAUGCAGAAGCAAAGGGAAUGAAGAUACCUGCCUCACCUCUUUGCUUCUCAGCUCUUCCCAUUGGAGGCUGGGGAUCAGAAAAGAGCCAGGCAAAGCACAAGAGAAAGCAAUCACAUCUCUUUCAUAGUUGGCUGAAAAUUCACAGAGAUGACCAUGGGGAAGCAAAGGGAAUGAUGGAAUGUACCUCUCUUUUCUCUUGUCCAACCAUUACAAAAUGAAGAGCAUUUAGGACAGAAGACUAGAAAUUUCUGUUGACCUGAACGGACAUACAAGGGAAUGAUGAAAAGUACCUACCUCGCCAUUAUUUUUCUUCUGUGUUUUCUUCUUUGGAAGAGGUGAAGACCUGGGAAGAGAUACAUGAGGCAGAAUUGAAGGCACUCGACUUGCUUCUUCUCAUUUUCCCUGAAGGCUAGAAUCCUACUAUGAAUGUCAUAAAGAUCAGUCAGGAGACUUUUGGAAUAUGAUGGAAGGUACAUAUCUCUCAUCCUUCCUGCUCUCCUCUUCCCUUUGGAGGGUGGUGAUCAGGUAGGAGAUAGGUAAACUAUAAUACAAAGCAACUACCUCUCCUUGAGGAACCAGAUCUUGAAGACUUGGCAGGAUAUUCAUGAAGAAGAGCAUGUGAAGCGAAGAACAUGAUGGAAUUCAUACACCAUUCUCUACUCAGUCCCCUUGGAACUGUGAGACCUAGCAGGAGACCAGGUAGGUAUCUUGGAUUGGACAGUCCCAUGUUAGGAGGGAAUGAGGAGGAAACCCGAUCACGUCUGCAUUUCUCUUACCUUGCCAUCCAUACAGAAUUUAGGGUGGAGGGAGGAUCCAGAUGAAUCCCAAUGCAAGGCCACUGACUCUCUUUAUCCCUCUUUUCCUCAAGAUCAGAGUACUUGCAGGAGACUAGAGUCUGGAGUCCUGGUAACAUUUUCCUAAAGAUGAUGCUGGAAAGAACACUUAAGUGAGUGCAGACUCCCUUUUCGUCUCUUUUUACUUCCAUUAUAACCUGGAGAUCUAGCAGGAGAAAA